UAUUACAUAUGUUUAGUUGCUGUAAAUAACGUACGGCGAGGUAAUGCGUUUUAUGCAAUUUGUCUCGUUUGUUGAGUGCAGGUGAUGACGUAUUGAUGUGUAAAAAGUAAAUAUAUAUUUAGUAUUUGUGCUUUUUCCUCUCGUCACAUAAAAAGGUUGAUUCUUAUUGGAUAGUAUAUUUUUCAACAAGUCUAGACACUCGUGAUAUUAACAUGGUAUUAUUUUUGAAAUUCUGAGCGUAACGAGGAAUCUAUUGGUUUUACUAUGAUGUGUGAAUAUUUUUUUCUGUCUGUAAACAAAU